CCUAGUCCCACAUAGACUGGAUGGAUGCAAGGAUGCAUUUAAGCUGUGUUGGCGCUGUGGGGGAGGAGAGGGAACCAUGUUACACAUGUUUUGGGAGUGCCCGUUGCUAAGGGCAUUCUGGAAACAAAUACAAGGCCUUAUAUCUAGCACAACAGGCCUCCUAAUCCGGCUACAGCCUGAACACUAUAUAUUACACAUAAUACCUGAGUUGACACUACAUCCCCACAGAAAAGUGAUAGUCAACAUACUUAGCGCAGCAAAGGUCCUUCUAGCGCAAAACUGGAAGAGCACAAAAAUACCUACCAUAGAGACGGUUAGCAGCAGAUUGGACGUAAUCGGCUCCUAUGAACUAAUGGCUAGCAGGAUGUAGGGCCAGGAGGAUAGGCACGAGAGGGAGU